rnacentral:rRNA from 1 species
UCGAACGGUGAAGGAGAGCUUGCUCUCUGGAUCAGUGGCGAACGGGUGAGUAACACGUGAGCAAUCUGCCCCUGACUCUGGGAUAACAGUUGGAAACAGCUGCUAAUACCGGAUACGAGCUUCGAAGGCAUCUUCAGAAGCUGGAAAGAACUUCGGUCAGGGAUGAGCUCGCGGCCUAUCAGCUAGUUGGUGAGGUAAUGGCUCACCAAGGCGUCGACGGGUAGCCGGCCUGAGAGGGUGACCGGCCACACUGGGACUGAGACACGGCCCAGACUCCUACGGGAGGCAGCAGUGGGGAAUAUUGCACAAUGGGCGCAAGCCUGAUGCAGCAACGCCGCGUGAGGGACGACGGCCUUCGGGUUGUAAACCUCUUUUAGCAGGGAAGAAGCGAAAGUGACGGUACCUGCAGAAAAAGCGCCGGCUAACUACGUGCCAGCAGCCGCGGUAAUACGUAGGGCGCAAGCGUUAUCCGGAAUUAUUGGGCGUAAAGAGCUCGUAGGCGGUUUGUCGCGUCUGCUGUGAAAACUGGAGGCUCAACCUCCAGCCUGCAGUGGGUACGGGCAGACUAGAGUGCGGUAGGGGAGAUUGGAAUUCCUGGUGUAGCGGUGGAAUGCGCAGAUAUCAGGAGGAACACCGAUGGCGAAGGCAGAUCUCUGGGCCGUAACUGACGCUGAGGAGCGAAAGGGUGGGGAGCAAACAGGCUUAGAUACCCUGGUAGUCCACCCCGUAAACGUUGGGAACUAGUUGUGGGGUCCAUUCCACGGAUUCCGUGACGCAGCUAACGCAUUAAGUUCCCCGCCUGGGGAGUACGGCCGCAAGG